AAAAUUAUAGUUUAACAAAAAUAUUUAAUUUGCAUUUAAGAGAUACAUCAGUUAAUUUUA
rnacentral:tRNA from 1 species